CGUACGAGGCGCAUGCGUAACAGCCUCAAGGGCCGAGCGCCGAAGGGACGCGUCGGGCCCCGCGGGAGGGUAGAGCUGCCGAAGUGACCUGUCUCGGCGCCCGCUUCGCUGCAGCCCCGGCUUCGCACGUUACCCUCCGGCUCCCCCUGGGCGGGUCAGCGGCGCCCAGCCCCCGCCGCACGGUCCAGUGGGUUCCCGCUGCGCGCCCCGCCCCGCCUCGCCUCGCCUCCCGGCGCCGCCUGAGCAGCGGGGCCGGGCUGCCCUGGCCGGGCAAGGGGCUCGGCCGCUGCUGACUCUCCCCGAGGGCACUGGCGGGCCGUUGGCGCUGAAGCACUGAGCCCCGGGCCCUCCCCGUGGAGCCGCGGGCUUUCCGCGCAGAGCCGCGCAGGGAAGAGGGGACGAUACUACUGGGGAGGCCCGGAGCCCGCCGCGCUGAGACCCUGCGUGAGAACUGGGGGAGAGGGUAGCUCAGCAUGGUUAUACAGUGCCACAUGACUAGCAGGGACUGACACAGAUAAUUACACUUGUGCAAGUUUCUCUUAUGUAGAAGGAUGCAUGUUUUACUAGAACCCAGACAGCGUUAUGCAGUCACAGGUCGGUGAUCGCGCAUGCGAGGGGCACUGUGGCGACCCUUCCCAUCUUGGAUACACUGAUCAGUCACAACAGGUGCAAAGUCCGUCUCGGGGCGGGUCUAGCUUCAGCCUUUUGUUUCCAAAGAACUUUGAACGUUUGAGUGUUUUAACGGUAAAGUAACUGUGGUUAAGAAAGUCCCUUGCUAAGCCUAUGUCUUCUGCUUUCCUGCCAUGUUAGCCCCAAAGGGGUUAAACUAGCCACCCAAAACAGCCUAGGUGGAGCUCUGCGUCAUGCAUGCAAGCCGCUGGGAGGCACAGGAGGUCUCAGUGACACAGAUUUCUUCCUACUGCAAUAGCAGCCCACAGAAGAGCUAAAACAAGAGGACUGAGCCAGUUUGUGUGCCCUAUAGACCCAGAGCAAGAAACUGACUGACCUCUACCUGAGCCAGAUGGCUUGGAAGGAAAGUAUGUAGAACUUAGCGAUUGAAUCUCCUCAGGGCAGACUGGGCCAACAGGGAGAAGUGGGGACAUACACCCAAGGCUACUGUCAGAGACUAACUCAGGUGCCCAAAAUUUAUUACUGAAGUGAACACUUGGGCCAAGAUAAACAAAUGGGUGCCUAAAGUUAAGCUCCUAAAUCCAUAUUUAGGAUUUCUGAUUGAGUACACAAUGGCAUUCAGAAUUUGGGGCUUCAGCAGAUGUACUCUAAGGCAAGGCUUCUGCACACUGAGCAUUCUCCUGCAUCUCAGGAAACCCUCAGGAGAAAAGUUUCAUGUAGUUGGAGGCACUGUCAAAGCUGUUCUUUUUUUACUAAAAGAACAUUAACUACAUGUGCUUAAUACCUCAUUGAUAAAUUCAUUCAAAACACAAAGUUAUUGGAAAAAAUCUUCUACUUUGGAAAAAGUGUACUGCAUUUGAACCAGAAGCUGGUGGUAGUGAUAACAGCACAUUCCGUUUAUGCAACCCUACAAAAAAGUUGCCACAAAUGUGGCCUUUUAAAGAAUUUUGAACAUAUGGUUAUUUGGAACCCAACUUUGUCAACCUUCAUAGCAUGGUUUGCUAUGUAAGGCUGACCUAUACAGCUUUUUGCUUGAGGUAUACCAGUAGUAUUCUGUUUUGUUUUAGGUGAGUAUAAACCAGGAAGUUUGUGAAAAUGGACACAAGACAGACUCAAAUUAAAAACGUACUAACAUUAAGCUGUCAGAGUGUUAAGCAAAACCAAUUCAAAACUAGACUGAACUGUGGCAGCACCUCUCAAGUGUAGUUAAGAUCAGAAAAUUGGUAAGUGAAAUCAUGUAUCCAUAUUUACCCUUGAACACGGUUAUGAAAAUGAGAUUUACAAUUCAAGAGGAAUUGUUUCCAGCUAUCAGUACUACAGAUUCAACCAGAGUUCCGAGUGUAUUAUUUCUCUUGCAUACCUGCCACUCUGCAGAGAUGACUAAGGAAAAGUAUGUAUUAAUGGUGUUCUGUUUGGAAGCUUAUCUUUGCAAUUAUGAAAGCUAAAAAGUUUAAAAACUGAGCCCUGAAGCUAACAUUAACAUUUCAUAUGGCUUAUGUAAAUACAUCAAGUAGGUGGGAUCUGGCCU